rnacentral:tRNA from 1 species
GGGUCUGUGGUCUAGUGGUUAUGACGUUGCCUUGACGUGGCAAAGAUCGCCGGUUCGAAUCCGGCCAGACCCA